rfam:Picea glauca, whole genome shotgun sequence.
UGCCUACAACAUAGCGUUAAUGCACCAUAUCCCAUUAGAACUCCGCAGUUAAACACGCUCGAGCUAGAGUAGUAUUGGGAUGGGUGACCGCCCGAGAAGUCCUAGUAUUUUAAAUGC